rnacentral:rRNA from 1 species
GUGAUGACGGGUAACGGGGGAUAAACGUUCGACUCCGGAGAGGGAGCCUGAGAAAUGGCUACCACAUCCAAGGAAGGCAGCAGGCGCGUAAAUUACCCAAAUCCCAAUUCGGGGAGGUAGUAACAAGGAGUGUUGAUGAUAAUAUAAUGUAUAUAUAUUUAUAUAUAUACAAUUAUCAAUCAAGAUGAAUAAUAUAUAAAUAAGAUGAUGAAUGCAACUGGAGGGCAAGUCUGGUGCCAGCAGCCGCGGUAAUUCCAGCUCCAGGAGCGUAUUUUAAAAUUGUUGCAGUUAAAGCGCUCGUAGUUGAAUUGAGUUUAUUAUUGAGAUUAUAAUUUGUAUUUAUAUAUAUGUAAUGUAUAUAUAAAUACAUAUAAUCUUGUAUGAACAAUUGUAUAUUUAUAUAUAUGAAAUAAUGUAUAUAAAUAUAAUAUAGACUGUGAAUAAAAGAAAAAGCUAAAAGUAUAGGAAAUAUAUCCUGUAUCUAGAUUACAGAAUCUAUAUAAAAAUGUUAUUAUUAUUGAUGAAAAUAGAUGGGGGUGCUCGUACUCUAUAGGGACAGGUGAAAUUGGAUGAUCUAUGGAAGACGAACUAUAGCGAAAGCAUUCACCAAGUAUAUAUUUUUCAAUAAAGAACGAAAGUUGGAGGAUCGAAGACGAUUAGAUACCGUCGUAGUUUCAACUAUAAACGAUGUCAGUUAGAGGGAUGAAUUAUGCGAGUAAUAAUUUUGUAUUUAUAAUUAUAUAUAUAUAUAUAUGUAUAUAUAUAUAAUUAUAAUAAGAAUAUACUAUGCUAAUUUAUUAAUCUAUCGGGAAACCGUAAACGUUUGGACCCUGGGGAGAGUAUGAUCGCAAGAUUGAUAUUUAAAGUAAAUGAGGGGAUCGUACCACCAGGAGUGGAGUGUGCGGUUUAAUUUGACCCAACACGCGAAAACUUACCAGGUCCGGAUAUAGUGAGGAUAGACAGGUUAUAGAUCUUUCUUAAUUCUAUGGGUGGUGGUGCAUGGCCGUUGUCAGUUCGUGGAUUGGUGAUUUGUCUGGUUGAUUCCGAUAACGGACGAGACUUUUAUUGGUAAUAAAAAUGGGUAAUAUAUAUUACUUAGUAUAGAUAAUAUUAAUAUAUUAAUAUAUAUUAAUUAUGUAUAAUAUGUGUAUGUAUGUAUGUACAUAUAUGUGUUGUAUAGAAAUCUUUACCAAGACUUGCGG